rnacentral:rRNA from 1 species
GAUGAACGCUGGCGGCGUGCCUAAUACAUGCAAGUCGAGCGAACGGACGAGAAGCUUGCUUCUCUGAUGUUAGCGGCGGACGGGUGAGUAACACGUGGAUAACCUACCUAUAAGACUGGGAUAACUUCGGGAAACCGGAGCUAAUACCGGAUGAUAUUUUGAACCGCAUGGUUCAUAAGUGAAAGACGGUCUUGCUGUCACUUAUAGCUGGAUCCGCGCUGCAUUAGCUAGUUGGUAAGGUAACGGCUUACCAAGGCAACGAUGCAUAGCCGACCUGAGAGGGUGAUCGGCCACACUGGAACUGAGACACGGUCCAGACUCCUACGGGAGGCAGCAGUAGGGAAUCUUCCGCAAUGGGCGAAAGCCUGACGGAGCAACGCCGCGUGAGUGAUGAAGGUCUUCGGAUCGUAAAACUCUGUUAUUAGGGAAGAACAUAUGUGUAAGUAACUGUGCACAUCUUGGCGGUACCUAAUCAGAAAGCCACGGCUAACUACGUG